UAACUUUCAAAGGACAGCAGCCGCCCAUUAGCCUUAGGAGCUAACCCCCCU
rnacentral:tRNA from 1 species